rnacentral:lncRNA from 1 species
AAAGUUUUUAUUAGAAAGCAGUCCAAGGAGUUGAAAAUGUUUUGGGUCCCUCUCUACAGGAAGAAUAUUAAGUUGCUGGAACACAGUCAGAGAAGAGCAGUGAAGCUGGUGAAGGGACUAGAGAACAAGACCAGGAAACAGUGUCACUCUGCUGCCUGAGGGAGCACAAACAAAACAAAAAAACCCAUCACAGGAUGCAUACAUUAUGCUUCAAUAAUCUUUGAUUGCCAUACAUUGAGGAGUUUUCCCUGAUGCUUACAGCUGAGGUGAGCAGCACUCUCAGCUUGUGUAGAAGCCUAAGGAAUCACUGCUGAUGUUUUUGGCCCAUCUCACCCAUCUGUGGCAAUGGCUUUUGGGGAAGCAAAAUGGUGUAGGACAGAGAUACUGCCUCAGACUAUUCUUG